rnacentral:tRNA from 1 species
UGUAGCUGUGUGGUAAAGUGCUUGCCUCACGUGUAUGAGGCCCUGGGUUCCAUCCCCAGCA